GAUAGGAAGAAAUAAGGCAUCUUUUUUCUUUUAAAAGACCUAGUGAUAGGUAUACUUUAGGAGGGGCUUGCGCCAUAUUAGUUAGUUGGUAGGGUAAUGGCCUACCAAGACGAUGAUGUGUAGCUGGACUGAGAGGUUGAACAGCCACAUUGGGACUGAGACACGGCCCAAACUCCUACGGGAGGCAGCAGUAGGGAAUUUUCGGCAAUGGAGGAAACUCUGACCGAGCAACGCCGCGUGAACGACGAAGUACUUUGGUAUGUAAAGUUCUUUUAUCAAAGGAAGAAAAGCAAGUGGUGAACCAUUUGUUUGCCGGUACUUGAGAAUAAGCCCCGGCUAAUUAUGUGCCAGCAGCCGCGGUAAGACAUAAGGGGCAAGUGUUAUCCGGAAUUAUUGGGCGUAAAGGGUGCGUAGGCGGUCUAGUAAGUCAGUGGUGUAAUGGCAACGCUCAACGUUGUCCGGCUAUUGAAACUGCUAAACUUGAGUUAGAUAGAGGCGAGUGGAAUUCCAUGUGUAGCGGUAAAAUGCGUAAAUAUAUGGAGGAACACCAGAGGCGUAGGCGGCUCGCUGGGUCUUAACUGACGCUGAGGCACGAAAGCGUGGGGAGCAAACAGGAUUAGAUACCCUGGUAGUCCACGCCGUAAACGAUGAGUACUAAGUGUCGGGUUAAACCGGUACUGAAGUUAACACAUUAAGUACUCCGCCUGAGUAGUACGUACGCAAGUAUGAAACUUAAAGGAAUUGACGGGACUCCGCACAAGCGGUGGAUCAUGUUGUUUAAUUCGAAGAUACCCGAAAAACCUUACCAGGUCUUGACAUGUUUUUGCGAAACGGUAGUAAUAUCGUGGAGGUUAUCAGAAACACAGGUGGUGCAUGGUUGUCGUCAGCUCGUGUCGUGAGAUGUUAGGUUAAGUCCUAAAACGAGCGAAACCCUUAUCGUUAGUUGCCAGCACGUUAUGGUGGGGACUUUAACGAGACUGCCAGUGAUAAAUUGGAGGAAGGUGAGGAUCACGUCAAAUCAGCAUGCCCCUUAUGACCUGGGCUACAAACGUGAUACAAUGGCUGUUACAAAGGGUAGCUGAAACGCAAGUUCUUGGCCAAUCCCCAAAAACAGUCUCAGUCCGGAUUGAAGUCUGCAACUCGACUUCAUGAAGUUGGAAUCGCUAGUAAUCGCGAAUCAGCAUGUCGCGGUGAAUACGUUCUCGGGGUUUGUACACACCGCCCGUCAAACCACGAAAGUUGGCAAUACCCCAAAACGGUAGCCUAACUCGUUUAUCGAGAGGGCGCUGUCUAAGGUAGGGUCGAUGAUUGGGGUUAAGUCGUAACAAGGUAUCCCUACCGGAAGGUGGGGAUGGAUCACCUCCUUUCUAAGGAAACCAAUAAAAUCAAUCAUCUUCAGUUUUGAAAGACUUAGGAUAACUAAGUUUUUCUUCGUGACUUCACGAAGGGCCUAUAGCUCAGUUGGUUAGAGCACACGCCUGAUAAGCGUGAGGUCGGUGGUUCAAGUCCAUUUAGGCCCACCAGAGUUAUAGGUGUCGUAAGAACACAAAUUCUUUGAAAAUUAGGUAAAU
rnacentral:rRNA from 1 species